rnacentral:rRNA from 1 species
GAUGAACGCUGGCGGCGUGCCUAAUACAUGCAAGUCGAGCGAACAGAUGAUGAGCUUGCUCCUCUCACGUUUGCGGCAGACGUGUGAGUAACACGUGUAUCACCUCCCUAUCAUACUGAGAUCACUUCGGGAAACCGGAUCUAAUACCGUAUAAUAUAUUGAACCGCAUUGUUCAAUAGUAAGAUACGGUUUUUCUGUCUCUUAUCGCUGCAUCUGCGCCGUAUUAGCUAGUUGUUGGGGUAACGGCCUACCAAGGCAACGAUGCGUAGCCGAACGGAGAGGGUGAUAGGCCACACUGGAACGGAGACGGCGUCAAGACUACUACGGGAGGCAGCAGUAGGGAAUCGUCGGCAAUGGGCGAAAGCCUGACGGAGUGAGGGCGAGUGAGUGAUGACGGCGUCCGGAGCGGAAAGCUCUGUUAUGAGGGAUGAACAAAUGUGUAAGUAAAUAAGCACGUCGUGACGGUACCGAAUCAGAAAGCACCGGCUAACUACGUG